GUUCUUCUACAGUGUGAUGCAAACAACGGCAACAAAUGGUUAUAUGACCAAGCAAAAAACCAAAUUGUCCACAUCGCAACGGGCUUGUGUUUGGCCACUGAGCUUUGGAUGGUGAUCGUAACACCAUGUAAUUUAAAGGACGAAAGACAACAUUGGAAAAUCUUAAGUUUCAAUGAAUACAAGCAAAAUUUAAUGCUUAAUAUUGAUAAAAUCUAGUAAUCUCAAAUGCUAUAAAUGUGAUAUAUUAGGUGAACAACAAUAUUAUUAGAAAAUCAGCUACUCAAACAUUUGCACACAUUUUGCCAAAACCAUUUGCCAAUUAUUUUUUGGAAUGAUUACAUCUAAAUUCGAUUCAUGUUAAAUAAAUAACGAUGUUGUUUGAUUAA